GGACGACGCUGGCGGCGUGCCUAAUACAUGCAAGUCGAACGGUCUUUCUGUGGAAGCUUGCUUCACUGAGAAGAUAGUGGCGAACGGGUGAGUAACACGUGGGUAACCCUGCCCAUAAGAGGGGGAUAACAUCCGGAAACGGGUGCUAAUACCGCAUAGUUUUCUUGAUCGCAUGAUCGGGAAAGGAAAGACGGCCUUUUGUGCUGUCGCUUAUGGAUGGACCCGCGGCGUAUUAGUUAGUUGGUGAGGUAACGGCUCACCAAGACGAUGAUACGUAGCCGACCUGAGAGGGUGAUCGGCCACAUUGGGACUGAGACACGGCCCAGACUCCUACGGGAGGCAGCAGUGGGGAAUAUUGCACAAUGGGGGAAACCCUGAUGCAAGCAACGCCGCGUGAGUGAUGACGGCCUUCGGGUUGUAAAGCUCUGUCUUCAGGGACGAUAAUGACGGUACCUGAGGAGGAAGCCACGGCUAACUACGUGCCAGCCGCAGC
rnacentral:rRNA from 1 species